UGGGGAAUUUUGGACAAUGGGCGAAAGCCUGAUCCAGCAAUGCCGCGUGUGUGAAGAAGGCCUUCGGGUUGUAAAGCACUUUUGUCCGGAAAGAAAUGGCUCUGGUUAAUACCUGGGGUCGAUGACGGUACCGGAAGAAUAAGGACCGGCUAACUACGUGCCAGCAGCCGCGGUAAUACGUAGGGUCCAAGCGUUAAUCGGAAUUACUGGGCGUAAAGCGUGCGCAGGCGGUUGUGCAAGACCGAUGUGAAAUCCCCGAGCUUAACUUGGGAAUUGCAUUGGUGACUGCACGGCUAGAGUGUGUCAGGGGGGGGUAGAAUUCCACGUGUAGCAGUGAAAUGCGUAGAGAUGUGGAGGAAUACCGAUGGCGAAGGCAGCCCCCUGGGAUAACACUGACGCUCAUGCACGAAAGCGUGGGGAGCAAACAGG
rnacentral:rRNA from 1 species